UUUGUAUAAUGGGUCAGCGACUUAUAUUCUGUAGCAAGGUUAACCGAAUAGGGGAGCCGGAGGGAAACCGAGUCUUAAUUGGGCGUUAAGUUGCAGGGUAUAGACCCGAAACCCGGUGAUCUAGCCAUGGGCAGGUUGAAGGUUGGGUAACACUAACUGGAGGACCGAACCGACUAAUGUUGAAAAAUUAGCGGAUGACCUGUGGCUGGGGGUGAAAGGCCAAUCAAACCGGGAGAUAGCUGGUUCUCCCCGAAAGCUAUUUAGGUAGCGCCUCGUGAAUUCAUCUCCGGGGGUAGAGCACUGUUUCGGCUAGGGGGCCAUCCCGGCUUACCAACCCGAUGCAAACUGCGAAUACCGGAGAAUGUUAUCACGGGAGACACACGGCGGGUGCUAACGUCCGUCGUGAAGAGGGAAACAACCCAGACCGCCAGCUAAGGUCCCAAAGUCAUGGUUAAGUGGGAAACGAUGUGGGAAGGCCCAGACAGCCAGGAUGUUGGCUUAGAAGCAGCCAUCAUUUAAAGAAAGCGUAAUAGCUCACUGGUCGAGUCGGCCUGCGCGGAAGAUGUAACGGGGCUAAACCAUGCACCGAAGCUGCGGCAGCGACGCUGAUGCGUUGUUGGGUAGGGGAGCGUUCUGUAAGCCUGCGAAGGUGGCCUGUGAGGGUUGCUGGAGGUAUCAGAAGUGCGAAUGCUGACAUAAGUAACGAUAAAGCGGGUGAAAAGCCCGCUCGCCGGAAGACCAAGGGUUCCUGUCCAACGUUAAUCGGGGCAGGGUGAGUCGACCCCUAAGGCGAGGCCGAAAGGCGUAGUCGAUGGGAAACGGGUUAAUAUUCCCGUACUUGGUGUUACUGCGAAGGGGGGACGGAGAAGGCUAUGUUGGCCGGGCGACGGUUGUCCCGGUUUAAGCGUGUAGGUGUGUGUUCCAGGUAAAUCCGGUUCACUUUAACACUGAGGCGUGAUGACGAGGCACUACGGUGCUGAAGCAACAAAUGCCCUGCUUCCAGGAAAAGCCUCUAAGCAUCAGGUAACAUCAAAUCGUACCCCAAACCGACACAGGUGGUCAGGUAGAGAAUACCAAGGCGCUUGAGAGAACUCGGGUGAAGGAACUAGGCAAAAUGGUGCCGUAACUUCGGGAGAAGGCACGCUGACACGUAGGUGAAGUGAUUUACUCAUGGAGCUGAAGUCAGUCGAAGAUACCAGCUGGCUGCAACUGUUUAUUAAAAACACAGCACUGUGCAAACACGAAAGUGGACGUAUACGGUGUGACGCCUGCCCGGUGCCGGAAGGUUAAUUGAUGGGGUCAGCGCAAGCGAAGCUCCUGAUCGAAGCCCCGGUAAACGGCGGCCGUAACUAUAACGGUCCUAAGGUAGCGAAAUUCCUUGUCGGGUAAGUUCCGACCUGCACGAAUGGCGUAAUGAUGGCCAGGCUGUCUCCACCCGAGACUCAGUGAAAUUGAACUCGCUGUGAAGAUGCAGUGUACCCGCGGCAAGACGGAAAGACCCCGUGAACCUUUACUAUAGCUUGACACUGAACAUUGAGCCUUGAUGUGUAGGAUAGGUGGGAGGCUUUGAAGUGUGGACGCCAGUCUGCAUGGAGCCGGCCUUGAAAUACCACCCUUUAAUGUUUGAUGUUCUAACGUGGACCCGUGAUCCGGGUUGCGGACAGUGUCUGGUGGGUAGUUUGACUGGGGCGGUCUCCUCCUAAAGAGUAACGGAGGAGCACGAAGGUUGGCUAAUCCUGGUCGGACAUCAGGAGGUUAGUGCAAUGGCAUAAGCCAGCUUGACUGCGAGCGUGACGGCGCGAGCAGGUGCGAAAGCAGGUCAUAGUGAUCCGGUGGUUCUGAAUGGAAGGGCCAUCGCUCAACGGAUAAAAGGUACUCCGGGGAUAACAGGCUGAUACCGCCCAAGAGUUCAUAUCGACGGCGGUGUUUGGCACCUCGAUGUCGGCUCAUCACAUCCUGGGGCUGAAGUAGGUCCCAAGGGUAUGGCUGUUCGCCAUUUAAAGUGGUACGCGAGCUGGGUUUAGAACGUCGUGAGACAGUUCGGUCCCUAUCUGCCGUGGGCGCUGGAGAACUGAGGGGGGCUGCUCCUAGUACGAGAGGACCGGAGUGGACGCAUCACUGGUGUUCGGGUUGUCAUGCCAAUGGCACUGCCCGGUAGCUAAAUGCGGAAGAGAUAAGUGCUGAAAGCAUCUAAGCACGAAACUUGCCCCGAGAUGAGUUCUCCCUGAGACUUAGAGUCUCCUGAAGGAACGUUGAAGACGACGACGUUGAUAGGCCGGGUGUGUAAGCGCAGCGAUGCGUUGAGCUAACCGGUACUAAC
rnacentral:rRNA from 1 species